rnacentral:rRNA from 1 species
AGAGUUUGAUCCUGGCUCAGGAUGAACGCUAGCGACAGGCUUAACACAUGCAAGUCGAGGGGCAGCGGGGGUAGCAAUACCCGCCGGCGACCGGCGCACGGGUGAGUAACGCGUAUGCAACUUGCCUAUCAGAGGGGGAUAACCCGGCGAAAGUCGGACUAAUACCGCAUGAAGCAGGGGCCCCGCAUGGGGAUAUUUGCUAAAGAUUCAUCGCUGAUAGAUAGGCAUGCGUUCCAUUAGGCAGUUGGCGGGGUAACGGCCCACCAAACCGACGAUGGAUAGGGGUUCUGAGAGGAAGGUCCCCCACAUUGGUACUGAGACACGGACCAAACUCCUACGGGAGGCAGCAGUGAGGAAUAUUGGUCAAUGGGCGUAAGCCUGAACCAGCCAAGUCGCGUGAGGGAUGAAGGUUCUAUGGAUCGUAAACCUCUUUUAUAAGGGAAUAAAGUGCGGGACGUGUCCCGUUUUGUAUGUACCUUAUGAAUAAGGAUCGGCUAACUCCGUGCCAGCAGCCGCGGUAAUACGGAGGAUCCGAGCGUUAUCCGGAUUUAUUGGGUUUAAAGGGUGCGUAGGCGGCCUUUUAAGUCAGCGGUGAAAGUCUGUGGCUCAACCAUAGAAUUGCCGUUGAAACUGGGGGGCUUGAGUAUGUUUGAGGCAGGCGGAAUGCGUGGUGUAGCGGUGAAAUGCUUAGAUAUCACGCAGAACCCCGAUUGCGAAGGCAGCCUGCCAAGCCAUGACUGACGCUGAUGCACGAAAGCGUGGGGAUCAAACAGGAUUAGAUACCCUGGUAGUCCACGCAGUAAACGAUGAUCACUAGCUGUUUGCGAUACACUGUAAGCGGCACAGCGAAAGCGUUAAGUGAUCCACCUGGGGAGUACGCCGGCAACGGUGAAACUCAAAGGAAUUGACGGGGGCCCGCACAAGCGGAGGAACAUGUGGUUUAAUUCGAUGAUACGCGAGGAACCUUACCCGGGCUUAAAUUGCACUCGAAUGAUCCGGAAACGGUUCAGCUAGCAAUAGCGAGUGUGAAGGUGCUGCAUGGUUGUCGUCAGCUCGUGCCGUGAGGUGUCGGCUUAAGUGCCAUAACGAGCGCAACCCUUGCCACUAGUUACUAACAGGUAAAGCUGAGGACUCUGGUGGGACUGCCAGCGUAAGCUGCGAGGAAGGCGGGGAUGACGUCAAAUCAGCACGGCCCUUACAUCCGGGGCGACACACGUGUUACAAUGGCGUGGACAAAGGGAUGCCACCUGGCGACAGGGAGCGAAUCCCCAAACCACGUCUCAGUUCGGAUCGGAGUCUGCAACCCGACUCCGUGAAGCUGGAUUCGCUAGUAAUCGCGCAUCAGCCAUGGCGCGGUGAAUACGUUCCCGGGCCUUGUACACACCGCCCGUCAAGCCAUGGGAGCCGGGGGUACCUGAAGUGCGUAACCGCGAGGAUCGCCCUAGGGUAAAACUGGUGACUGGGGCUAAGUCGUAACAAGGUAGCCGUACCGGAAGGUGCGGCUG